UGCUGCAUGAUUGUUCAAAACGGCCACCGCUGUCUCGUGCGUUACGGUUACGUUGCGUUGCUUUGGCCUAGGGCCUCCACCGUGUGUGCGUUUUGUGUACAUCCGCCCAGUGGCGUUCCGUCCGCAAUUCCGGAUUUCGGAGGUUCAGUGGAACCUCGCAGAGUGACGGUGUCCAGCCGCGAACCGGAAAUGCACUGCGCUGCAGGUUGAUGCUGCUGGCAAAAUCAAUUUCCAGUCCGAUUGGGGAGUGCUUCGGCCAUAAAUUCCAAGAGAGAUGACAGUGUGUGAAAUUUAAGCCUUGAAGAGGCAACACUAGAGAAAAAAAAGCAUCCGUGUAUGCGUGCGUGUAUGUGGGAAAAUAGUAAACGGGAUGCUGUGGGCUUUUUCUGUGCCCUGCGAUGGUGCUGGUUGGGUGGCAUUCUCGACCUGCUCUUGAUUAUGGGGGUUUGAAGCAGAGGUGGUGGUGAGUGUCCAUUGCGAGUGUGGGAAGAAAACAGAUUUCCCGACUGGGUGGAUUCUUCAUCUGAUUCGUGAUUCAAAUGCAGGUGAUUACCAUUUUAAUGAUUUGUAAUUAGUCGCCAGCUCAUAAAAGAAGGAUACUUUGAAUUCACAGCCGAGACCAAUCCUCUCCGUAUAUGUCAGAGGAAGAUUGGUGGUUCCGCAAUCAUACGGUCACUCCUUGCGUGUAUUGGUGCAGUGUCUAAAAAGUUGAGUGCUUUGGGGUGUUGUUUUUAGGAAAUUCUCGCAAUUCUCGGUCCACACUGAAGAAAAUAUAACAUGCUCCUGCUGGCGAAUGUUGUGGAUGGCACAAGUUUCCAAUAAGAGAUGUUCGUGAUAAUCUGCAUUGGGGUAGGUCAGCGCGAAUAGUUUGGGAAAACUUCGCUGGAAAAUUGGCACCCCUUGCGGGCCGGAACGGCAAUCGCUGGCGAGUGCGUUUUUUGUUGUCUGAGGACGGUGCUGGGAGGCGAAUGGUUGAAAGAAGUGGCACUGAUAAUGAGUUGCCGCACACGUGCAGGGGUGGAAAGUGAAGUCGAUAAUCCCGUCUCGGUGAGAGCACUUCAGUGCUGUGCAUAAAAGCACUUGUGUCAAUCCGCUUGCUCGUCUGCAUACAUGCCAGUCAGAGUGAGGAAAGUGAAGCCGAAGAAACCGAGUGGAAAACACGGAAAAUAGGAAAAGUAAUUUAACGCGUUUCUUGCUGCCAGUUAUAGUUAGUGCCCCUGUCAAGUGAUAUUAAGAGGCGGAAUUAUCGUUGUAGAAGCAGUAAUAAACAGAGGAUUAACAUACGUAAUGCAAUACUUACCAGCCUAAUGUUGUCAGCGUUAAACAGAGCGGAAGCCGAAAAGGAAUAUAAGAGUCCGCCACCAUAAGGGAAAGCCCGUAUUGGUCAGCAUAUUCUCAUUAAGGAAUCCCUCGUUGGAUCCGAUGCUGAUGGAAAUGUUUCUUGCCCCUCAAUCCAAUUAAAUCGCAACAACGUUCCACUACGGUCGGCUGCAGCAUACCACGCCAUAUCCAGUGCACAAUGAAGACGCCCAGUUUCUUUUUCCACGAGUGGCAAUCAUCAUCCGGCAUCAUCCAGGGAAGCACUUGAUUCGAUCCCGGUGCCACACCCAGACAGACAGAUACACCUGAUUGUGCGCCACCUUGUUAGCCGGCAACACAGCCAACGUUCAUUUUCGAGCUUGUUUAUGGGACUAAUAAAUGGAAUUCGUACUCUAGCUGCUGCUGCUGUUGCUGUCGGUGCAGAUGUUGCCGCUUUUUACCGGGCCGAGUAGUGGGACAAAAAGUACCUUUUCAGGACUUUUCCUACAGUGUCCGGAUUCUUUAUUGGCACUCGUUAGGCGAACAUAAAUAGUGAAGCUCUCGAGCGAGUGGGAGCGACGAAGGUUGGAAUCCCAAUAAUGAAGUGGAAUCGGUUCUGUCGGGCGCCCUUGUAGGUUGGACCACUUCUUACCGAGAUCGAAUAAAGGGCGGAAUCGCGCGAUUGGAGGAACAGGGUGAGACACUUUGCAAUGAGCUAGGACUGUAAGGGAGGAAUGCAAUCUAACCGGGACAGUCCUGAUAUGUACUGGCAGCCGUCGUUAUUUCGCAAUUAUGUGCAAGCCAUUGCGAUAAAUUGUCUGCCUCUUCUGCGCUUCCAGAAAUAGUCGGUACUUGAUAUAUCGGAAGUAAAGUACGUCGGAGGCACAGAGAGAAAACGGAUGAUAUAACGCUGAAUCAACAUUGGGUCUGCCAGGAAGUGGAAUAAAUAUUUGCCACCGUUCGAGCCAGUCCGUCGUGACACAUCUUGGUGGGGAAAAAGAAAUCGUAAAAACAAUUUAGAAUAACACUUCGAACCGAAACCUGACUGGCGUGAACCCACCCCUGCUGCCGGUGCACCAUGGCCGAAAAGCGAUUUCCGAGAAAAUGAGCAAACGGAAGAAGAAAAACUUUUCCCGCCUCAAGCUCCGGUCCCAUUCCAUCCAAGUAAGCCGAAAGGAAAAACAACACACACACAACGAUCCAAGAGUGCUUUGAAAACUGCAAUCACCGACGGGAGACAGCGGAACAGUUAGAUAAGCGCAGUUUAAAAAAAAUGAUUCAACAGCUUCAUACCCUCCUACAGUUCAAAAGCUGAAGAACUUAAGUAAUGAAAUGGGAAAUUGACGGUGGAAGGCUACCGAAAAAAAAACCAGGAAAUGAAAAAGAAAUAAAAUUAAAAGUCAAAAUUAUUUUCCCCGAGACUUGAGUGCUGGUCAGUUGAAAGUAACAGAGGGAAAAUUCGUGUGCGGUUUGCAACCGCCAUUAUAUUCCGAAUCGGGGGGGAAAGAAAAAUUGAAGUGUAAAUAAACGUCGGUGAACCGUCCGGUGAAAAAUUAGUGCUCAACGAGAUGCUGCGGUCGUUUGUGUGUUUCCAUUAUCCGUGCAUCCUUGGCGUUUGAACGAGCGAAUAACCGACGGGAAGAGCGACGAAGCUGAAAAUGUUCGUCAAAUACCAGUACUUUUGCAUCAUCUACUUCCUGCUGGUGCGGCACCUGAACGGGUCCACGAUGGAUCUGUACAAAAACUCGCGCCUGAGCCAACGGAUCGUGCAGACGCGGUACGGGCGGUUGCAGGGGCUGAUCCUGCCCCUGGAAGGUUACAAAUUCCUCAAACCCAUCGAAGCGUUCCUGGGCGUCCCGUACGCCACGCCGCCAACCAAGAUGAAUAGGUGAGUGAACUGCGGGUGGAUAACCGGGGUGGGAAAUGAAUUGGAUUUUCAAUUGAAAUCAACCAUGCUUAAAUGUGA